AACAGCUGAAAAAUGAAAAAACUAAAGUAAAAGAAGAUCCAAGACAUCAAAACGUGACAUCAGCUCCUGUCCGCUACUUUCAAUGUGUCUUCCUAAAUGGACCUAAUGGAUUUGGGCUGCAAUUUCCUAUUAAUCCCCCUUCAAACAAGGAAGAAAAGACUCACUCAAAGACUUCCAAGAGAAAGACAAGGAAACCGGGGCAGUAGAGAGACUGAGUCCUGUGAUCACUGACAUUUUGCACUUUAUCUUUUCUGCUGAGGUCCACAGUAGCUACAGUGGUACUUGUCAUUGCAAGAACGUGAUCCACUUGCACACAUGUACCUGGAAAAAGUUUCCAUGGGGCAGCGGCAGAACAAGCAGAACAAUGAACUGUUUUUAACAAAGAUAGAAAUGUAAAAGUGCCCAGUUUCUCAUGGAAAGGCUGCAAUGUUAACAAAGCAUUGAUGUGACUGUGUGUGUGAGCAUGUGUGUGUGUUUUCAUGCCUCUUUUGCUCUUGAUUUUCUUUACCUACAUGCUCAGCAUUGAA